rnacentral:rRNA from 1 species
UACGUAGGGGGCAAGCGUUGUCCGGAAUCAUUGGGCGUAAAGAGCGUGUAGGCGGCUCGGUAAGUCCGCUCUGAAAGCCCGGGGCUCAACCCCGGGAGGCGGGCGGAUACUGUCGGGCUAGAGUCCGGAAGAGGCGAGUGGAAUUCCUGGUGUAGCGGUGAAAUGCGCAGAUAUCAGGAGGAACACCGAUGGCGAAGGCGGCU